rnacentral:ncRNA from 1 species
UAUAUAGGCAAAACUAUUGAAAAGUAGUGACGCAAAGCUAAAGGGCCUCAUUAAUGUGGUAGCCAGUUGC